CCACAUCUUUCACAGUUUCACUCGCUUCUCGCUGUUGCCAACUGUUGGCCGCCGGCCUUGCCAACUCUCGCUGCCCACCACAGCUAGGGCCCUCCAAGCCGCCACGCCGGGUGCCGGGUGUCUGCUGGUUUUGGCUGCUGGCUGCUGCCGCUUCUCCUCUCGCUGCCUUCUCCGCUCGUGCUACCUGCUGCCGUGCUGCGGACCACUGUUGCUGCCGCCGGCUCAUAAACUAAUCGGUGAACUGUUGUUGAAGCGCCGAAGGAGCAAGACUGCUGCAAGAGCAAGGUGACACUGGUGAAACAGAAAACCAUGGUCCAGGAGAGCAUAUCUGUAGUUAUUGGUUGUAGGCGUCUUUUGGUCAGUCCGGUGUAUUCCACAGUUGUGGCUAUGGAGCAUUUUUGGCCAGUUCCGUGUAUUCUACGGUUGUGGCUAUGGAGCACUGGAUAAUAGUAAUUAUCCACAAUAGCAGGUAUGUUGGUGUUACCAUGUAUCUGUGUAAACAUAAAUAGUGAGCAUUGGAUAAUAGUAGUAAUUAUAUGUUAUAA